rnacentral:rRNA from 1 species
AGAAUCCUCCGCAAUGGGCGAAAGCCUGCCGGAGCGACACCGCGUGCAGGAUGAAGGCCUUCGGGUUGUAAACUGCUGUCCCGCUCUAGGAACGACGUGUCGUUAAUGGCGGCACGUUUGCCCCAGGCGAAAGGCAGCACCGGCUAACUCUGUGCCAGCAGCCGCGGUAAGACAGAGGGUGCAAACGUUGUUCGGAAUCACUGGGCAUAAAGAGCACGUAGGCGGUUCGCCAAGUCGUGCGUGAAAUCCCCCGGCUCAACCGGGGAAUCGCGCUCGAUACUGGCGUGCUAGAGGUCGGUAGGGGUGAGUGGAACUCCAGGUGGAGCGGUGAAAUGCGUAGAUAUCUGGAGGAACACCGGUGGCGAAAGCGGCUCACUGGACCGAAACUGACGCUGAGGUGCGAAAGCUAGGGUAGCAAAC